rnacentral:rRNA from 1 species
CCUACGGGAGGCAGCAGUGGGGAAUAUUGGACAAUGGGCGAAAGCCUGAUCCAGCCAUGCCGCGUGUGUGAAGAAGGUCUUCGGAUUGUAAAGCACUUUAAGUUGGGAGGAAGGGCAGUAAAUUAAUACUUUGCUGUUUUGACGUUACCGACAGAAUAAGCACCGGCUAACUCUGUGCCAGCAGCCGCGGUAAUACAGAGGGUGCAAGCG